GGGUGUGAUCAUACCAAUGUUAAUUCCCUAUAUCUCAUUAGAACUAUGAAAUUAAGUGUGUCUGGGAUAGAGUAGUAUAGGGUUAUAUGACCUCUUGGGAAGUCCUAGUGGUGUACCGA
rnacentral:rRNA from 1 species